rnacentral:rRNA from 1 species
UGUCUUAGUGGCGGACGGGUGAGUAACGCGUGAGUAACCUGCCAUACAGUGGGGAAUAACACACCGAAAGGUGUGCUAAUACCGCAUGAUGUAUCGAGAUCGCAUGGUCUUGAUACCAAAGAUUUAUCGCUGUAUGAUGGGCUCGCGUCUGAUUAGAUAGUUGGUGAGGUAACGGCUCACCAAGUCGACGAUCAGUAGCCGGACUGAGAGGUUGAACGGCCACAUUGGGACUGAGACACGGCCCAGACUCCUACGGGAGGCAGCAGUGGGGGAUAUUGCACAAUGGGCGCAAGCCUGAUGCAGCGACGCCGCGUGAGGGAAGACGGUCUUCGGAUUGUAAACCUCUGUCAUCGGGGACGAUAAUGACGGUACCCGAUGAGGAAGCUCCGGCUAACUACGUGCCAGCAGCCGCGGUAAUACGUAGGGAGCAAGCGUUGUCCGGAAUUACUGGGUGUAAAGGGAGCGUAGGCGGGAAGGCAAGUUGAAUGUUUAAUCUAUGGGCUCAACCCAUAUCAGCGUUCAAAACUGCUUUUCUUGAGUGAAGUAGAGGUUGGCGGAAUUCCUAGUGUAGCGGUGAAAUGCGUAGAUAUUAGGAGGAACACCAGUGGCGAAGGCGGCCAACUGGGCUUUUACUGACGCUGA